GGUACUGUCAGACCGAAAGGAUAUUAACCAAUCGGCUUUUCAUCCCGUAUGACAGGACUUUACAUUCCGAAAAACUUCAUCGUCCACGCGGCGUCGCUCGGUCAGGGUUUCCCCCAUUGCCGAAGCCUCUCGA
rnacentral:rRNA from 1 species